rnacentral:rRNA from 1 species
GACGAACGCUGGCGGCGUGCUUAACACAUGCAAGUCGAACGGAAAGGCCCUGCUUUUGUUGGGUGCUCGAGUGGCGAACGGGUGAGUAACACGUGAGUAACCUGCCCUUGACUUUGGGAUAACUUUAGGAAACUGUGGCUAAUACCGCAUAGGAGCUCCUGCUGCAUGGCGUGGGCUGGAAAGUUUCGGUGGUUGGGGUAGGACUUGCGGCUUAGGAGUUUUUUGGUGGGGUAGUGGAUUACCAAGGCCUUGACGGGUAGCCGGACUGGGAGGGUGACCGGGCACAGAGGGACUGAGGUACCGGCAGGAGGGAUACGGGAGGAAGCGGUGGAGAAUAGUGCGAGAAGGGCGGAGGCAGGAAGGAGCGACGCCGGGUGGGGGAUGACGGCCGUAGGGUUGGAACCAGCUUUAGACUGUGACGAAGCGUGAGUGACGGUAAUGGGUAAAGAAGCAACGGCUAACUACGUG